AGAGUUUGAUCCUGGCUCAGAACGAACGCUGGCGGCGUGGAUUAGGCAUGCAAGUCGAACGAUCUUUCCAAGUGUAGCAAUACAUCUGGAAAGGGAGUGGCGAAAGGGUGAGGAAUACGUGGGCAAUCUGCCUUUAAGUUGGGGAUAACCUUCCGAAAGGAGGGCUAAUACCGAAUGUGGUCGUCUCGGGCAUCCGAGAUUAUCCAAAGAUGGGGAUCCGCAAGGACCUGUCGCUUGAAGAUGAGCCCGCGUCCUAUCAGCUAGUUGGUGAGGUUAAAGCUUACCAAGGCUAUGACGGGUAGCUGGUCUGAGAGGAUGGUCAGCCACACUGGGACUGAGACACUGCCCAGACUCCUACGGGAGGCUGCAGUCGAGGAUCAUUCGCAAUGGGCGAAAGCCUGACGGUGCGACGCCGCGUGCAGGAUGAAGGCCUUCGGGUUGUAAACUGCUGUCAUGAGGGAACAAUAGCCGGUAGAUUAACACUCUAUCGGAAUGAUAGUACCUCAAGAGGAAGCCACGGCUAACUCUGUGCCAGCAGCCGCGGUAAUACAGAGGCGGCGAGCGUUGUUCGGAUUUACUGGGCGUAAAGGGUGCGUAGGCGGUUCCGCAUGUCGGAUGUGAAAUCUCAUCACUCAACGAUGGAAUGGCAUUCGAAACUGCGGGGCUAGGGUGUAGGAGAGGAGAGCGGAAUUCUCGGUGUAGCGGUGAAAUGCGUAGAUAUCGAGAGGAACACCGGUGGCGAAGGCGGCUCUCUGGACUACUACCGACGCUGAGGCACGAAAGCUGGGGGAGCAAACAGGAUUAGAUACCCUGGUAGUCCCAGCCCUAAACGGUGUACACUUGAUAUUGGAGGGAUUGUCCCUUUCAGUGUCGGAGCUAACGCGUUAAGUGUACCGCCUGGGGAGUACGGUCGCAAGAUUAAAACUCAAAGGAAUUGACGGGGGCCCGCACAAGCGGUGGAGCAUGUGGCUUAAUUCGAUGCAACGCGAAGAACCUUACCUGGGUUUGACAUGUGGCUGCACGCCUGACGAAAGUCGGGAAGCCUUCGAGGGUGCCACACAGGUGCUGCAUGGCUGUCGUCAGCUCGUGCCGUGAGGUGUUAGGUUAAGUCCUGCAACGAGCGCAACCCCUGUGAUUAGUUGCUAACGGGUAAUGCCGAGCACUCUAGUCAGACUGCCUGUGAUAAGCAGGAGGAAGGUGGGGAUGACGUCAAGUCAGUAUGGUCCUUAUACCCAGGGCUGCACACGUGCUACAAUGGAGAGUACAGAAGGAUGCAAGACCGCGAGGUGGAGCAAAUCCCAAAAACUCUCCACAGUUCAGAUUGAAGGCUGCAACUCGCCUUCAUGAAGCUGGAAUCGCUAGUAAUGGCGCAUCAGCUACGGCGCCGUGAAUACGUUCCCGGGCCUUGUACACACCGCCCGUCACAUCAUGGGAGCCGAUUGCACCCGAAGUCACCCAACUAACCGUAAAAGGAAGAAGGUGCCGAAGGUGCGAUUGGUGACUGGGAUGAAGUCGGAACAAGGUA
rnacentral:rRNA from 1 species